CGAUAACUCAACGUACAACUCUUCAAAUGUUUGGGUGGUUGAUGGCUCCACUGCUCAGUUGUUCACCAUCUUUCUUGACUUCUCUAUGUAGGUUCAAAUAUAAUGGAUUGUUGAUUUUGCUGGCAUUUGCUUGGGCAUAUUGAUGCAUAAACAUUGGUACUUGAGAAAUUCCAAUCAUUUUAAGGAAGUUCAUUAUUGGUCGGUAUCCAUCACCCUUUAGGCCUUUACUCAAUACAUCUAUCUCUGUCAAUAUUUGUCCCAGUUGUAUACUAGCUAUGCAUCUUCUGCUUUCAAUAAUUGACACUAACUUGCCCUCACUGUAAACUGCAGAUAUCUUGAAAAGUUACUUUCUGGCAAGUAGGAAAAAACAGCUUUCUGAAGUUACAGGCGCAUUGCCUAUUGAACUAUAAUCUAUCUCUAUUCAGGGUGAUGUGUGGAGAAGGUAUUCACACAAGGCCUGUAAGUUUUUUCAACCAUUACAUUGGCCUUUCCACUUAUUUGUGCCAAAAGAGAUGCUUACCACUACCAAUACCAGCAACAACACCUGGCAAGUACAUUAUUAGAGCAUAUGAUCCCUACUCUCUCACUGCUCUCGUUCUAAUAUUUCUGUCUCAAUCAAAUUGCAUCAGGUUAGUAGUCAAAGCAAGGUCAGUCAAGAAGAGAAAAUUCAACACUUCGCUUUAUAUCCAGCAUAUGAUUGAGAAGAACUUCAGAUAUGUGCAACCCCGGGAAAUUGUCCAAGCCCUUUGGUCAGCAAUGAUCAAAGAACAACACCAUAAAAGACGCUCUUUAUUUUUGUCCAUUUGGUUGGGACCGGUACUUGGGAGUGCGAGAUAUGGUGCUAUCUCUGACUGUGGUAUUUGAUUGUCAUGUGAAUUAUGAUGACAGAUUCAAUUGAUUAUUAUACUCCCUCUAAUCCAUAAUAAGUGUCGCUGAUUUAGACAAAUUCGCGACUGGUUCAGACGUUUAGUGAUUGAUUUUCUUAGAUCUGGCGUGCUAAUUUGUUAAAAAUAGACCCCCGGGGAGGAUCCCCGUGGUAUUUUAGUUAAAGGAACCGAGGCUUGAUCCAGCGUGCUAAUUUGUUGAAAUUCCACAACUUCGAAGGUGGAGAGAAUAGAACAAGAAAGAAGAGAUAAAAUCAUCACUGUGAUAACAGGAUACUAUUGAAGCUCUUAAGAAAGAAUAUUCAACAGUCAACACUUUUAAAAAAAAAAAACGGGUACUAUAAAUACUUAAUCGGAUGCAUCGCUCUAAGUGUAUUUUCUGAUGGGAAUAUUUGUAUGAUAUAGUAGUGUUCUUGAAAAAAGAAAUAUUUAGUGUAUCAUAUCAGUUUAUUUAUCUCUCACACUACUCGACAUGGACCUAUUAUUUUGUUAUUCGUAUUCAUACUAAAUUGAAAAAAAAAUGUCCGCAUCUGUAUUUGAUUACAAUCCGCAUUCGUAAUCGACAACAUCACAUCUAUUUCCUCCGUCCCACCAAAAGUGUCUCAACCUAGAUACAUCUAAAUUUUGAUGAAGUUUAGAUACUUUUUGUGAGAUGGAGGGAGUAUAUUCAUUUUGAGAACAUGAAAACGAAUACGUAAAGGGCGCAUUUGGUAGCUUGCAUGCUCCUUGGCUCGCAUCGGUCCAGCUUUUUUCGGCCCGUUUGGUUACCUGGUCGACGCCGCGUUCUUGCAGGAAUCGCUUCUCAAAGCACCCUCGGGCCAGGCCCUGGAGGAACGUCCGGUUCGGCCGUUUCUAGCGAGUCACCCCCGUUUUCGUACAAGUGGAGAACGCGGCGUCCUCGCAGAGCCACCGCGGGAGAUGGCGGGAGCUCGCGCGGGACGGUGAAAUCUCGACGGGCUGAAUUCGGUCACCGCGCUUGAAUUUUCGCCACCGUAUAUAGGGGCGACUCUCUCACUGGCAAAUCCAAAUUCCCCAUUUCGCCCCAUUACGAGCUCAUCCACCGUCCCCGAUCUAGCGGCAUGGCCGGCUCUACCUCACCCGCACGGUCGACGAGGCUUGCGGCGGCGGCUACUGGCCGCGGAGGAUGGUCGUCUUCUUCGUCUGUGUUGAUGACUUUGGUUGUGGUAAGCUUCUGCAAACCCUAACCUUAGAUCUAGAUCUUUUGGGUACACAACCGGGGUCCGAACGAAUCCAUUGUAGGACAUUUCUUCGUCGCCGGUGGUGGUUGUGGAGGUUUUUCAGGUUCCAUCUAAUUCUACGACGGGGACCGUUCUCGCCGAUGACUCUUCCACUGGGACGGUGGUGCUGCCUGCAUAUUCGCCAGGGUCCCCUGCUUCCCCUACCUCGGUGUUGCGUGUGGCUCCUUUGACUGCAAUCAUACCUUUGGGCUCCCGUGAUUUGUCUGCGCCAACUGUGAAUGCUCAGCCAUGUCUGAUUGCAAGCAAACCAGCCAUGGUUUGAAAACCUGAGCUAUCAGAGUUUGUGCCGAAUCGGUUGGUUCAGCUCGUCCGUAUCGGCGUCUGCUUCAACAUGGGAUUCAAGGAGCAGCAGAUGAAGAAGGUAGCCGCGGAUGUUCUUGCAUUCGCCGGUGUACAUGUCACCACUCUUCAGUUGUACAACCACAUCAGAAACUGGAGGACGAAGUGGAGCGUCAUCAUGAAGAUGAAAUUCGAUCGCAUUCUGGACUGGAGCGAAGAUGGUUGCUGCUUCUACGACGGUGAUGAAGGGGCGGCAAACGAGUACAUCCAGCGGUAUCCGAAGCACCGUCAGUACAUCGGCACCCCGAUCACCAACUACGCUUAGAUGAAGACGAUCUUCACUCCCUGGUUCGUGUGCAAGGCGCAGCUGUUCCAGCCUAACUUGCUGGUAAGGGCUAUCGACUAUAUUCCAGACAUUGAAGCAGAGUAUGCCGUCUACCGUAAGCUGCAGCCACCGGAGAGGAGGAGCUGGCUUAGGACCUGGCUCCGCAACCAGUCCUGCUUAGUGCUUCUGCUUCCUUCUCAUGAUCCGCUGAUUUUGGGAGGUGAUCUUGUAUCCCUCCAUUAGCUAGGACUUGCUACAACCUGAUCCCCGGUUUGUAAUGAUGAACUUGUUCGAGGUGGUAUAUACUAACCUCUCGUGAUGAACCUGUGACACGAAGUAGUUGCUUCGUUCGUGAUGCAUCGCUCACUAAGUAGUAGUUGAUGUUUA